UACGUAGGUGGUGAGCGUUGUCCGGAUUUACUGGGCGUAAAGGGAGCGUAGGCGGACUUUUAAGUGAGAUGUGAAAUACCCGGGCUCAACUUGAGUGCUGCAUUUCAAACUGGAAGUCUAGAGUGCAGGAGAGGAGAAUGGAAUUCCUAGUGUAGCGGUGAAAUGCGUAGAGAUUAGGAAGAACACCAGUGGCGAAGGCGAUUCUCUGGACUGUAACUGACGCUGAGGCUCGAAAGCGUGGGGAGCAAACAGGAUUAGAUA
rnacentral:rRNA from 1 species